UAAUACGUAGGGGGCGAGCGUUGUCCGAAGUUACUGGGCGUAAAGCGCGCGUAGGCGGCUUUUUAAGUCUGGGGUGAAAGGUUCUGCGCUUAACGUGAACAGUGCCCUGGAGACUGGAAGGCUUGAGUGUGGGAGGGGGCAGUGGAAUUCCUGGUGUAGCGGUGAAAUGCGUAGAUAUCAGGAGGAACACCGAUGGCGAAGGCAGCUGCCUGGCCUAACACUGACGCUGAGGUGCGAAAGCGUGGGGAGCGAACGGGAUUAGAUACCCCGGUAGUCCACGCCGUAAACGAUGAGUGCUAGGUGUUCGGGGUAUCGACCCCCCGGGUGCCGCCGCUAACGCAGUAAGCACUCCGCCUGGGGAGUACGGCCGCAAGGUUG
rnacentral:rRNA from 1 species